rnacentral:rRNA from 1 species
UGGGGAAUAUUGCACAAUGGGCGAAAGCCUGAUCCAGCAAUGCCGCGUGCGGGAAGAAGGCCUUCGGGUUGUAAACCGCUUUUGUCAGGGAAGAAAUCUUCUGAGUUAAUACCUCGGGAGGAUGACGGUACCUGAAGAAUAAGCACCAGCUAACUACGUGCCAGCAGCCGCGGUAAUACGUAGGGUGCAAGCGUUAAUCGGAAUUACUGGGCGUAAAGCGUGCGCAGGCGGUUUUGUAAGACAGAGGUGAAAUCCCCGGCGUCAACCUGGGAACUGCCUUUGUGACUGCAAGGCUUGAGUGCGGCAGAGGGGGAUGGAAUUCCGCGUGUAGCAGUGAAAUGCGUAGAUAUGCGGAGGAACACCGAUGGCGAAGGCAAUCCCCUGGGCCUGCACUGACGCUCAUGCACGAAAGCGUGGGGAGCAAACAGGAUUAGAUACCCCUGGUAGUCCACGCCCUAAACGAUGUCAACUGGUUGUUGGGAAGGUUCCUUCUCAGUAACGUAGCUAACGCGUGAAGUUGACCGCCUGGGGAGUACGGCCGCAAGGUUGAAACUUAAAUUGAAUUGACGGGGU